UGUGGUGAGCACACAUGUACCAGGUAGGCUGUACUGGAUGCUGAGGUUCCAUAAUCUCUGCCCUCGAGGAGCUCAAUGUCUAGCAGGAGAACCAGAAAGCAUUUUUCAAUUUCCAUGGUGAAAAUACUCCUACUAUGGCUGAUUUGAAGCUACCAACAUGAUGUGACUUUACAUGGAGGUGGAAAGAGACGGGCACACCAUUAUACAAUAUUCCCAUUAUGCAGACACAAGUGAAAAUAACUUCAAGAGCAUAAAUAAUAAAAUGCAGUAAAAUAAUUUGUAAGUGAUGAGUUUUGAGUAUUCUUACCUUCAUUUUAAAUAUAAUUUAUUUUAACAUUUAAUUUUUAGUAAUGGCUGCAUUUAACAACCAGUUGGCAAAAUUACUGAAAGUUUAACAAUUGGUUAUUGUAAACCAGUACAAACUGGCUCCAGCCCACCACUGGAUCUACUAUAACAUUAGUAAUACAUUGUUAAUUAUGCUGUUACUACAGUUUCCUCGUUUUGGAGGAGGAGGAAUAUGGGACAUCCUAACUGAGAGACAGAUGGGUAAUUGUAAAACUCCAGUUGUGGGUGUGGUUGUGAGAUGAUGUGGGUGGCAGAGGAAGUUGUGCAAGAGCUUCAGCAAAAGGGUAAGGAAUGGCAAUUAUGAAGGCAAGGUCAGAGAGUGAACACCAGAUGUUUCGCCUUAGAAGAGAAAGAGAGGAAGAGAGGACACUAUUUAUGGAGUGCCUACUGUAUGUUGUGCAUGUGCCAGUCUCAUGGCACGUUGUAUUUCAUCUAAUCCUCAUAACAUACUUGAAAGGCAGAUAGCUAAGUAGCACUGUGUAAGAAGACAAACUCAGGUCUGGCUAACUCCAAAACCGUUAU
rnacentral:lncRNA from 1 species